ACCUUAGAGACGAACUAAGUUUGUUCUGGGUAUAAGCUUUCGUGUGCAUGCACACUUCUUCAGAUACCUUCUUCAGCACAUGAAAGCUUAUAUUCAGAACAAAAUUAGUUGGUCUCUAAGGU